GAUUUUUGUAAUUUCCCCUUCAUAUAUUCUAAUAUCAGCCCAAUCCAUAACCCUAUACUGGUCCAUUUUAUAGUCCAAUUACUCCCAUCCAUAAUCUGAUAACCCAUUAAAUAGAAAAUAACCUAGCCCAAUAACCAAAUACCUCAACCCACAAGAUGACCCUUAACCACCUUUAAAAAUAACUCGGCCCAAAAACCACAAUCCACAUACAUUGCCCAUAACAACCCACAUUAAUUCAAAAUUAAAGCCAGCCCAAUUGCCAAAAAAUAUAUCUAUAUAAACACAAACAACCCAUAUCUAUUCACUUAAUGAAAUCAACACAGCCCAUCAACACCACCACACCAGCCCAAUCCAAUAUAUAUCGGCCCAAUCCCUUCUCUUUCCCCAAACCCAGAACCGCCGCAAUCCACUGCCUCUUGCUGACAUCUUGCAUUCCUCUGCCUCUGUUCCACCAAAAAUGCUCCUCAUCCAGGCCUAAAAACAGGGGACUGAGGUGGGUGCCCUUGAUUUCAAUUGAUUCAAGGGAAAUCAAGGGCUGAGGUGGGUGUUUUUAAGCCUGUCCUUAGGCCUGGAUCUGGAGCAAGCUUCCUGUUCCACAAUUCCCUGUCGAUCGCUACUUCCUACCACCACAAUAUUUGCUAAUUCAUCCCCAUCACAAUAUAGAAACCCUAACCCAUAGCCUCUCGCCACCGUCUCUUCAGCGCACCACCACACUUCGAUUGACGGCAUGCUUGUAACAUUAUCAUCUUCUCUCACAGCCGGUGAAGACAAAAUCAAGACCCGCACAUGCUUCAAUCGAAAGCCACCACCGAAGAAGGCGAUCUGAGCCGAAGAUGUCGAUUACCGUUUGGUCGACUUGAAUUUUAAAAAGGCAUUACCACUAACGACGCUACUGACUUAAUGAAGCUGUCGACCACCGAAAAUCGAAGAUUCAGUGAUGGUAUGCGGAGGAUAAUGAGCAGAUUAUUGGACCACCUCGGCCACCACCGGUUUAUGAACGUUUUGUGUUGAAGACUUCAAAAUCAGGCUGUCCAACAAAUUAACAGCUUGAUCCCAACAGCCAACCGAAAAGAAAUCCUUUUACAGAGUCAAACUUUUAAUUCCACAACGCGUCCUCACAGAGAAGCGGAUCUGUAAUUCUUGAAAUAUGAUAAUAUAGUAAAUGGGAAAUAUUGUAUAGGAUUUUCUGUGACUACUAGUACAAACUGGCAGCUGAGAAAAAAAAUUGGCAAAGAAAUUCAAAGGUUAAUUCGUUUAGGAACAAAACAUCGCUGAUACCAUGUCAAAUAUAUUCAAUAAAACUCGAUGUUCUUUGAUGUAAGAGGUUCUCUCAUUAAAUAGAACUAAAUCAAACUAAAUAUGAUAAAAACAAUCUAUCUAUAUACGGU
rnacentral:lncRNA from 1 species